ACGAACGCUGGCGGCGUGCCUAAUACAUGCAAGUAGAACGCUGAAGGAGGAGCUUGCUUCUCUGGAUGAGUUGCGAACGGGUGAGUAACGCGUAGGUAACCUGCCUGGUAGCGGGGGAUAACUAUUGGAAACGAUAGCUAAUACCGCAUAAUAGUAGAUGUUGCAUGACAUUUGCUUAAAAGGUGCAAUUGCAUCACUACCAGAUGGACCUGCGUUGUAUUAGCUAGUUGGUGAGGUAACGGCUCACCAAGGCAACGAUACAUAGCCGACCUGAGAGGGUGAUCGGCCACACUGGGACUGAGACACGGCCCAGACUCCUACGGGAGGCAGCAGUAGGGAAUCUUCGGCAAUGGACGGAAGUCUGACCGAGCAACGCCGCGUGAGUGAAGAAGGUUUUCGGAUCGUAAAGCUCUGUUGUAAGAGAAGAACGAGUGUGAGAGUGGAAAGUUCACACUGUGACGGUAUCUUACCAGAAAGGGACGGCUAACUACGUG
rnacentral:rRNA from 1 species